AUUGACUGACGAGUCCCGAAUGGGGCGAAACGCGUGUCCUGAAC
rnacentral:hammerhead_ribozyme from 1 species